rnacentral:rRNA from 1 species
ACGAACGCUGGCGGCGUGCUUAACACAUGCAAGUCGAACGAAAAGAGGGGGAAGAGCUUGCUCUUUUCAGAAUUGAGUGGCAAACGGGUGAGUAACACGUAAACAACCUGCCUUCAGGAUGGGGACAACAGACGGAAACGACUGCUAAUACCGAAUAAGUUCCAAGAGCCGCAUGGCCCAUGGAAGAAAAGGUGGCCUCUACCUGUAAGCUAUCGCCUGAAGAGGGGUUUGCGUCUGAUUAGCUGGUUGGAGGGGUAACGGCCCACCAAGGCGACGAUCAGUAGCCGGUCUGAGAGGAUGAACGGCCACACUGGAACUGAGACACGGUCCAGACUCCUACGGGAGGCAGCAGUGGGGAAUCUUCCGCAAUGGGCGAAAGCCUGACGGAGCAACGCCGCGUGAGUGAUGACGGCCUUCGGGUUGUAAAACUCUGUGAUCCGGGACGAAAAGGCAGAGUGCGAAGAACAAACUGCAUUGACGGUACCGGAAAAGCAAGCCACGGCUAACUACGUG